rnacentral:rRNA from 1 species
UACGUAGGUGGCAAGCGUUGUCCGGAUUUACUGGGCGUAAAGAGCGCGCAGGCGGUCGAUUUAGUCGCGUGUGAAAGCCCCCGGCUCAACUGGGGAGGGUCACGCGAUACUGAUCGACUCGAAGGCAGGAGAGGGUAGUGGAAUUCCCGGUGUAGUGGUGAAGUGCGUAGAUAUCGGGAGGAACACCAGUGGCGAAGGCGACUACCUGGCCUGUUCUUGACGCUGAGGCGCGAAAGCUAGGGGAGCAAACGGG